rnacentral:lncRNA from 1 species
AUGCUUCAAGACUACAAACACCAUCUUUAACUGCGUUAAGGGCUUUCAUUAGGAAAAAAACUAUAUGAGCUCAACACUGAGGUAACUUCUGCUACAUGUCACAAUAACAAUUCCACCUACUGCCCCUGCUCCCGGUUUUUGGCAUCAGAGCUACAUAUUCUGUCUAUGGUUUGUCUGACAGUCUUUGCUAUCUUAGUGUGUUUAAAGAUCUUCAUCAGUCUUUGUCAUGUUGUCGCUUCAGCUGCCUCUUAUUAGAAACAUCCAACCAAUUAGAAAUUAGGCUUAAACUCAAUGCUAAAGGUGCAGGUAUGGACUGUUACCUUUGCAAUUUUCUUAAGAAAACUUUGACAAAUUAAAAACACAUCCCUUAAUAACAUUUUUUAUCUGUUGCUUCUUCAGAGUCAUGUUUCCUUUAGCCCCUGGGAGUUCAGUUCAGGAUUGGCAAGACGUUUUGGGAAUGAUUGCCUGAAGCAUCCAUGAGGUUCCACUCCAGGCUGUCUAUGGGUGAUUUACAGUGACAGUGUAUCUAGGUCAUGGAAGUUCUGGCACAACACAGGCUGAUCAGCUGUCAGAGGGCAGCAGGCAAGGCCAGUUUUGAAUGCAGGAUGCAUUUUACUUAAAUUCAUACCCUCAUAAGAAGACUGUGUCCUAGAUAAGGUCAGAGAAGCAUACUAAAGAAAGACAAAAUUUUGCUUGGUGGUGCAUUCUGCUAUGCACCUGUCUAGAGGACAAAAAGAAAAACCUUAUAUCACAUCUUUCAAGAGAAGACCAGAAUGGUUUGUGAUUCAGGAGUUGUUCGUACACUCUUCUCUUUCAGAGAGGUGAUUUUCUUCAAGCCAGAAGAAGGUAUGAAUUCCUCAAAAAGGAAGAGAGGCAGACACUUCUCCUCAGGGAUGAGAUUAAGAUCACUAUUUGCAUCUGAAAAUCCUAAUUUUCCCUCAGUUGAAAGAAAUAUAACAGGUCCAUUAAGUACCUACAUCAUGAAAAAUAAUUAAAAAUUAUAUUAAUGAUUUCAAGAUUGUCUCCUUUGCUACAGAGAAACACACUGACAUGUACAUUCAGACCAGAUAAACACACCUUUAGUUAGGUGUUUAACACUAAAGUAGUGUGUCCCUUGGGUAUUAGUCCCUGGUUUAAGUGGGUUUAUUUCUGACAAGAUACUGCAUACUCUUAUUCAAAAUGACCUCUUUUCUAACACAAAUAGAAUGAAGAAAGAGAGGGGGAGAAAAGGAAAAGGUGACUGCUCUUGAAGAUCACUAGACCUCCUCAGACAUAUUCAAAUCAGAAGAGUGGUGCAAUAAAUAUUGAAAUAUUUGAUGAGGAAAAAAUGAU